rnacentral:piRNA from 1 species
GUGAAUGAAUGGAAUGCUUACUA